rnacentral:rRNA from 1 species
GAAACUUAAAGGAAUUGGCGGGGGAGCACCGCAACCGGAGGAGCGUGCGGUUCAAUUGGAUUCAACGCCGGAAAACUCACCAGGAGCGACGGACAGAUGUGAGCCAAGCCGAUGACUUUGCUUGAAUGUCCGAGAGGUGGUGCAUGGCCGUCAUCAGUUCGUACCGUAAGGCGUUCUGUUAAGUCAGAUAACGAACGAGACCCUCGCCCCUUGUUGCUACCCUUUCCGCAAGGAAAGGAGCACACUAGGGGGACCGCUGGCGCUAAGUCAGAGGAAGGUGAGGUCUACGGUAGGUCAGUAUGCCCCGAAUCUCCUGGGCUACACGCGCGCUACAAAGGUUGGGACAGUGGGUUUUCAACCUUGAAAAAGGAAGGUAAUCCCGAAACCCAAUCAAAGUUCGGAUUGAGGGCUGUAAUUCGCCCUCAUGAAUGCUGGAUUCGGUGGUAAUCGCGGGUCAACAUCCCGCGGUGAAUAUGCCCCUGCUCCUUGCACACACCGCCCGUCAAACCAUCCGAGUUGAGUUUGGAUGAGGACAUUUCAUUUGGAAUGUUCGAAUUCAGGUUCGGCAAG